CUGCUGCCUCCCGUAGGAGUCUGGGCCGUGUCUCAGUCCCAAUGUGGCCGGCCAACCUCUCAGUCCGGCUACUGAUCGUCGCCUUGGUGGGCCGUUACCCCGCCAACUAGCUAAUCAGACGCGAGUCCAUCUCAGAGCGAUAAAUCUUUGAUGCCCAGUGCCAUGCGACACAGACAUAUUAUGCGGUAUUAGCAGCUGUUUCCAACUGUUAUUCCCCACUCCAAGGCAGGUUACU
rnacentral:rRNA from 1 species